GCGAUUUGAUUUUCCAAAGAGAGUUUGCUUUUCCUUUUAAAUCUGCCAAAGUCUAAACUGAAAUUGUUAGUAAUAAUAAGAUAAGACCUUUUGUUUGUUAAAAAAUAAGUUUGAAAUUAAUAGUGAUCAGACAUUAGAGGAACAAAAGUGAGCAGGAUUCCUAAUUUAGCCUUUACCUACGAGUCAUGGUUUGCCUAUGUUCCUAGAAAAUUAAAGUAUCAAAAUAUUCCAAUAACAAAGUUGGUCAUUUAGAGAUAUACAUAUGAAAUGGAAAACAAUAACGAAUAUUAUUCAAAGUAAAAAAAGAGAGAAGAUGGACUCUUUGACAAUUGGGCUGGUAAGCUUAGCCAGGCCCAACAAGAUUUAGAUCAAAGCGGCAGACUCCAAUAUGAUAAAAAGGGAGCAGUCUGGAUUUGAUUUUGGGAUAGAGUCCAAAAGGAACUCAGCAGGCCCAAUUCGAAACAUGUACACAAAAAUUAGAGGAUAAUUAGUGUAUUUGAAGUAUAGAACGAAAUAAGAUAAAGCUUAUGAUAAAUAAUAAUAAAGAUCUGAGGAAUAUGGUGAGGCCAAUUUUAUUUGUGCUAAUCCUAUGAGGAUUAAUAAAAGUUAAUAACUAAAGGCUUUGAGCAAAUCCUUGUUUAUGGAUAAGGAUCCCCUUGUGGGCCCAUGAUACUUUAGAGUUCACAAGGGUCUCACGGACACCGAGCAGUGCCUGUGUCAGGGAGAGGUGCCUUAACCACAAACCAGAUUUCCUCCCAAAUACCAUUAGUCACCUACUCUUAAUCUUCCUCAAAGAUUUAGGCACAAAUAAAAGGAUCAACUUAGUAAUUUCACAUUGCCAGGAUAUAAAUAGUAGGUGUAAAGAGUCAUGGUAAGCCUUUCAAAGGGUCAGACACAAAAUAAAUUCAACAACAUUAAGCAAACAGAAUACAGUAAUUCAUCAUCAGGACACUAAAGCAACUCAAGGCACAACAUUGACUUAGGGAAGUUCAUAUCAGAGUGUGGGGUAUAAGGAUACGACAUUACAGAUGGAAUGGAGUCACUGUUGGGACAUAAUCAAACAAGAUUAAAGAGUAUAUGUAAUUGGUUACACAUAGACAUGCUUCAUUACUCAUAUCUUUAGACCCAAAAGUGUUAACUGGCAUGUAUCCUACAUUGAUGAUCCCAAUCAUUUGUUUUAUUGGCUUCAAUAUAUCCUAAGUAGGUGCAGAUCAUAAGGAGAGUUCAUAGAUACUUCUAAAAGCUUCAGCAAAGUUAAGAGCAAGCAUACAUCUCGUUAAGAUCUUAUCAUUUUAACAGUUAGGACAAUAGGGUCAUCAAUCAGGAAAGAGUUAAUGUUAGUCUUGUUUAAUCCUAAUGGAUUGAUUAUAACAAUACAGAGUUCAUCAAGCUUUCCGACUAUCAGACUUAAACAACUUCACGUUAAGUCCUCUACAGGUAAUGACACUAACAGGUAUAAGACAAUAGGUGAUGAUAUUCACUUUAACUUGAUAAGGCAAACAUGUCACAAUAUACUAACACCUGGACAUGCAGACCAGUUCACUAGCAAGACUUAGUGCAUGAUUCUGUGUACAGGUCAUUAUAAUUUCACGGCUCGGGCUAACAGUUAUCAUUUAAGCAAGGAUGGAUCAUUAGGGAUAGUCUCUUAUGGAGGAUCACUCACUGAACAUAAACCAAUACACCAUCAUAAAAGAUAAGGAUUAUCAUAGGUUACACAUCGAUACAAGUAUAAAUCUCUUCAAGAUAAGGUCGUUAAAUACUUUAUGGGCACAACAACACUAAUACAAUAUGUAUGAACCUAGGCAGAGAAGUUAGGAAGAGUCAUCUAAUUAACAUAACAAUAGGAACUUCAUGUAUAUUUCAUCACAGAACUCAAACAAUCAUGAGAUGACAUUCAUUACAUGAGUCAAUCCCAACCAAUUACAUUCAGACAUGAGAGUAUGAUUUCUAACAUACUAUCAGGGUUCAUUAUAUGCUUUCUUUUGUUUCCAAUCAUCAUAAAAAGCACACAGAAAUCACUAUAUUAUAGUAGCAUGAAUAGGAUGCUAAUUAUAGCCCAAACAAAUCAACAUGAGAACAUGAGAAAUGCCAUAAUUAUGUUCCGAGGAGUAAGGAAAAACAUCAUAGAAUCACAUAUAUCAAGAUGGCUUAGUGUCGGUAAAUAUUAAUAGUAUUUUCAAGAGAAGUUUAAAAAGUCUGAUUUUAUUCCAUUUUGAUCUUCACGAUAAUAUAUACAGAAUCAAUUACUUAACUAACAAAUCACAUACAAUAUUAUCAGCAUAGUAUGUAAUUCAAUUAAUCAUGAAUCUUAAUAGGGUCUAAGGGUAACAACAGUACAGGUACAUGGAUCACUGAAUGUGCAGAACAAGAAGGUUAUCAACGACAAAUUUAUCAGCUAAGGUUAUCAAAGCAGACAGGUUAAUGAAAAGGCAUGAAACGCAUGGAGAACGCUUCAUUAGGCCAGGACAUGGCAACAUAAAUGUCAAAAGCAGGUGGAUCAAGUUAAUAUUAUUACUAAAAGUGCAAAAUAUUAGGGAGAGUUCAAGAACAUGAUUCAAUUAGCUUAGCUGACAUGAUAAUGCUUAUAUAAUUGUUGUUUGACUAAUAGAGGAGAGUUAUACACAAAAUUGAAACAAAAGUUGACUCAGCUAAGCAUGGAGACUUAAUAAGAUCAAUCAUAAUAAUAUCACUUAAUAUAUAGUUCAUUCCUACUGACCAGAUAAUAAAUGAUAGGAUUCAAUAGCACAUAUUUCAUAAUAGAUUUAAUACAACUUAACUUAAUCAGAAGAUUCCUAAUUUAGCAGUGAAAAUAGCAUGCAAAGACAGGACAUAACAAAUACAACCUUACAUUACUAAUAGCUAACAUAAAAAACAGAGAAUCAACUAGGAAAUCAUUAAGAACACAAGACUAUACAAUUAAUUCAAGGUAAAGAAAGGGGUCAUUUUGCACUGACCUUCUAUAGGGCAGCAAACCAAGCAAAUGUUGAUUCCUAGUUGUUUGAAACUACAAAGUCAUAACAGUCCACUUAGAGUGAUUGAACUCACCCAGAAAUGAAAGAGGAAAAUAAGAAGUUAGAGAAGAAACUACUGUAACCUAGAUUUAGCAGAAGAAAAUUAAACUUUUGAUUUCUCAUUGUAUAUGUGAGUGGUGUUAGUGUGUAUUGAUAUCUAUCGAUGUUUGUUAGAUGAGAGCAUUUAAGGCCAUAUUUAUAGUGGCCUUCAAUGCCAUAGGGUUCCGAUAGAAUAUAAUUUUGUUAGUGAAAAGUGACGAAUGGUUGAUGAUGAUAGUAAGGCGGGUGAAAAUAAGAAGAAAAAAUGGAAAAAACAUCAAAGAACUUUUACCUGGGCACGAGGCUUGAGGAAUCAGCCGUUGAGAAUGAAGAUCAAUCGGCCAAAGCUCUAAUGUCCAGAGGUCACUGCGUUUGACCUUCGGACAAAAUAAUAAUGAUUUAAAUCAGACAUACAUGUUCCGAUUUGAGGGAUGAAGGAAGAACAGAUGACUUUCAAUUGCAUGAUUUUAGGUCUAGGGUUUAAUUUGGGAGUUUUGAAUUGCAUUGACGAAAAUGAAAAUGAAUUGGCAGGAUUCACGGAUACAGAAAUAGGAUGGAUGAUUUAGGGUUGAAUCAUGUGACCUUGCACAAAUUUGUGUAAGGUUUGAUGGGGUUGAUGGAUGAGAGAAAAGAGAAGAAAUUGGGAAAGAGGGGCGGCCGGUCAAGGAGCAAAUGAGUAGGGUUUAGGGGUGUCUCUAAGAUUAUG
rnacentral:lncRNA from 1 species